GACGAACGCUGGCGGCGUGCUUAACACAUGCAAGUCGAACGAGAAGAGAUGAGAAGCUUGCUUCUUAUCAAUUCGAGUGGCAAACGGGUGAGUAACGCGUAUCCAACCUGCCCAUCACUUGGGAAUAACCUUGCGAAAGUAAGACUAAUGCCCAAUGACAUUUAUAGAAGGCAUCCGAAAUGAAUUAAAGAUUUAUCGGUGAUGGAUGGGGAUGCGUCUGAUUAGCUUGUUGGCGGGGUAACGGCCCACCAAGGCGACGAUCAGUAGGGGUUCUGAGAGGAAGGUCCCCCACAUUGGGACUGAGACACGGUCCAAACUCCGUACGGGAGGCAGCAGUGAGGAAUAUUGGUCAAGUGGGCGAGAGCCUGAACCAGCCAAGUACGCGUGCAGGAUGACGGCCCUAU
rnacentral:rRNA from 1 species